rnacentral:tRNA from 1 species
GGGGGUAUAGCUCAGUGGUGGAGCAUGUGCUUGGCGUGCUUGAGGUCCUGGAUUCGACCCCCAGUGCCUCUG